AAUAAGUCGGGUGUGAAAGCCCACAGCUUAACUGUGGAACUACAUCCGAAACUGUUAAGCUAGAGUUCGGAAGAGGCAGGUGGAACUGGUGGUGUAGGGGUAAAAUCCGUAGAGAUCACCAAGAAUACCCAUUGCGAAGGCGACCUGCUGGGACGAUACUGACGCUGAGGCGCGAAAGCGUGGGGAGCAAACAGGAUUAGAUACCCUGGUAGUCCACGCCCUAAACGAUGGAUGCUAGUUGUUGGAGUGCUAGUCACUUCAGUAAUGCAGCUAACGCAUUAAGCAUCCCGCCUGGGGAGUACGGCCGCAAGGCUAAAACUCAAAGGAAUAGACGGGGACCCGCACAAGCGGUGGAGCAUGUGGUUUAAUUCGAAGAUACGCGAAGAACCUUACCUGGGCUUGACAUCCCAAGAACCCUCUAGAGAUAGAGGGGUGCCCCUUCGGGGGAGCUUGGUGACAGGUGCUGCACGGCUGUCGUCAGCUCGUGUCGUGAGAUGUUGGGUUAAGUCCCGCAACGAGCGCAACCCUCGUCCUUAGUUGCUAACAGUUCGGCUGAGCACUCUAAGGAGACUGCCCGGGUAACCGGGAGGAAGGUGAGGAUGACGUCAAGUCAUCAUGGCCCUUAUGUCCAGGGCGACACACGUGCUACAAUGGCGCGCACAAAGAGAC
rnacentral:rRNA from 1 species